GCUAGGAUGAACGCUAGCGGCAGGCCUAAUACAUGCAAGUCGAACGGUAAACGCCCCUUCGGGGGUGUGAGAGUGGCGCACGGGUGCGUAACGCGUAUGCAACCCACCCGCUGUCGGGGGAUAGCCCGGAGAAAUUCGAAUUAAUACCCCAUGAGGAGUGUUUGAGGCAUCUCAGGCAUUUCAAAACUAAGGUGACGGCGGACGGGCAUGCGUGCCAUUAGAUGGUUGGCGGGGUAACGGCCCACCAAGUCGACGAUGGCUAGGGGAUCUGAGAGGACGGUCCCCCACACUGGUACUGAGACACGGACCAGACUCCUACGGGAGGCAGCAGUAAGGGAUAUUGGUCAAUGGGGGGAACCCUGAACCAGCCAAUGCCGCGUGAGGGAAUAAGGCCCUACGGGUCGUAAACCUCUUUUGCCGGGGGAUAAGGACAGUUACGUGUAGCUGUUUGAAGGUACCCGGAGAAUAAGCAUCGGCUAACUCCGUGCCAGCCGCUGC
rnacentral:rRNA from 1 species